UACGUAGGGGGCAAGCGUUGUCCGGAAUCAUUGGGCGUAAAGAGCGUGUAGGCGGUUCGGUAAGUCGGCUGUGAAAGUCCAGGGCUCAACCCUGGGAUGCCGGUCGAUACUGCCGGACUAGAGUUCGGAAGAGGCGAGUGGAAUUCCUGGUGUAGCGGUGAAAUGCGCAGAUAUCAGGAGGAACACCGAUGGCGAAGGCAGGUCUCUGGGCCACUACUGACGCUGAGAAGCGAAAGCAUGGGGAGCGAACAGG
rnacentral:rRNA from 1 species